rnacentral:rRNA from 1 species
UCGAACGGCAGCACGGGAGCUUGCUCCUGGUGGCGAGUGGCGAACGGGUAAGUAACAUAUCGGAACGUACCCAGUCGUGGGGGAUAACUAUCCGAAAGGAUAGCUAAUACCGCAUACGUCCUGAGGGAGAAAGCGGGGGAUCGCAAGACCUCGCGCGAUUGGAGCGGCCGAUAUCGGAUUAGCUAGUUGGUGGGGUAAAGGCUCACCAAGGCGACGAUCCGUAGCGGGUCUGAGAGGACGACCCGCCACACUGGAACUGAGACACGGUCCAGACUCCUACGGGAGGCAGCAGUGGGGAAUUUUGGACAAUGGGGGCAACCCUGAUCCAGCCAUUCCGCGUGAGUGAAGAAGGCCUUCGGGUUGUAAAGCUCUUUCAGCAGGAACGAAACGGUCGGCUUUAAUAAAGUCGGCUAAUGACGGUACCUGCAGAAGAAGCACCGGCUAACUACGUGCCAGCAGCCGCGGUAAUACGUAGGGUGCGAGCGUUAAUCGGAAUUACUGGGCGUAAAGCGUGCGCAGGCGGCGACAUAAGACAGAUGUGAAAUCCCCGGGCUCAACCUGGGAACUGCGUUUGUGACUGUGUUGCUAGAGUGUAGCAGAGGGGGGUGGAAUUCCACGUGUAGCAGUGAAAUGCGUAGAGAUGUGGAGGAACACCGAUGGCGAAGGCAGCCCCCUGGGUUAACACUGACGCUCAUGCACGAAAGCGUGGGGAGCAAACAGGAUUAGAUACCCUGGUAGUCCACGCCCUAAACGAUGUCGACUGGGAUGUUGGGCACACUUUGGUGUUCAGUAUCGAAGCUAACGCGUUAAGUCGACCGCCUGGGGAGUAUGCGCGCAAGCGUGAAACUCAAAGGAAUUGACGGGGGCCCGCACAAGCGGUGGAGUAUGUGGUUUAAUUCGAUGCAACGCGCAGAACCUUACCUG